rnacentral:misc_RNA from 1 species
AAUUAUUAAUUGUAAAUAAAUAUGAAACAUUACAGUUAGCAAAAGCAACAAUGUCCUAUUUUGCUUUUAUAUAUUCCACAAGAUGAUGAAACAGAAUAUAUCACAGAAAAUAGGAAAGUGUACAAAAAUAUAGUCAUAUUUCUUAUAUCUAAGAUACAAAAGAUUAUAACUCUGAGAAUAAAACAUCUAAAGGUUUUUCUCCUAAGAAGAUAAUAAUAAUUUUAAGAUUAAUUACAAUAAGAUUAUACAUUUAUCAAUAUUAAAAGUAUUAUGCUGCUAUGUUUAUUAGUUAUAGGUAUUAGUUAUAGUUUAGUAGUUAUAACAAAACUGAGCACAUUAUUGCACUACUUUUAUUUUCAUUACGCGUCAAAUCACAAAUUUAAUGCAUUAUAUUUCUUAAAAGCAUAUAUGCUUGUCAAAUAUUAUUACAAACAUUUUAGUAUUAUGCUAUAGUCAUAUAUAAUAUAAAUAUCUGCUAACAAAUAAAAUAGACCAACUUCACAGCGAAGCACAUAAAACAUUUAUCUUUCAAAUAAUGUUAUUUGCUCUUAUACAGCAAUUAAACCAGUAAUAAGAUAAUACUUUAAAGUAGAUGUUUCCAAGAUUGGAACGUACGUAUAAGCAUAGCGGAAUAUAAUAAAGAAUAUCAUAACGGAAAUAAGAGAAACAAGCAUCCCUGCGUGCGUUUCCUAAGAAAUACUCUCCUAUCUUAAUAUGACAUUUUUUUCUUAUAUGAAAUAAAACACAUGUUACAUUUUAUGCAUUAUUAAAUCGAUUGCUUAACGUUAAGUCAUUUACACUGCACCCUAUUUCAUCAUUACACAUAAUUUACAGCAAAUUACAUCGAAUUGAAGAAAUUUACCUUUUAAACUAUACUAAAAAAAAAAAUGAGAUAGAAUAAUGGUGCGAUCGAUAAAGGAAGAGGGGGAAAAUAAUAUGCGUCACUUUCUUUCCCGCAGUCACAUGUGUUCUAAACGUCGCGCUGAUAUGAUCUGUCUCGAAGCAGAAUAUUUUAAUCUCAACAGAAUUCUUUUGCAGUCUAUUGCAUUAUGGCCAUUACAACAAUCAAAACUGGUUCAAUUCCAGUCGACUUUAAUUUUAAUUAUUCUAAUAACGGCUAUUAUGUGUGAGGUAACUACAUUAAUAAUGUCGAAAGUAAGUCCCAAAAUUGUCGUUACCGUUUUAUCUCGUACACUUUUCUUGAUGCUUUUGAUCGUACAUUACAGUGCAUUUCGAAUUAAUAUAAAAAGUAUAAAGAAUUUACUUCAACAAGUUCAUCAUGUAUGUACCAAAUUAACAGAUAAAAACGAAAUUGCUAUAAUACAACAAUAUGGUUGGGAGGCAAAACGUUAUACGACCACACUUCUUGUAGCUCUCUGUAGCGAAGGAACCGGUUUUUUUCUCAGUCAAAUUGCAGUAGCUUUUUAUAAAGUGGAUUUAUCCAUAAACGGAACUCGUCCACCUCGUUUGCAAAUAGCAACCGAGAAUAUUCUUGGUGAACAAAACUUUUUCCACUUAAUUCUGCUGCACAUAGAUACAGCUAUAAUUCUUGGAGUAAUAGCAUGGAUAGCGAUGGGAACAUUCAUGAUUGCAUAUCUACAACAUACAUGCGGAAUGUUCAAGAUUGCCUGUUAUCGCAUCGAAAAUGCGAUAGGAAUAAACAUCUCAAAGGACAUUAAUCAAAAGAGAGGACCUUCGAUAUCUGAAAAAAUAAUUUGUGCAGUAAAUAUUCAUCGGGAAGCUAUGAGAUUAUCCGAGCAUUUAAUAUCCAUGUUUGAUCCCAUGUACUUAUGUUUAACAGUGACUUCGGUGAUUACUGUGAGCCUCAACUUUUUUCAAGUACAGCAUUCCCUGGUACAUGUGUCCCCCCCAUAUACAAAGGCUGAUACUGUUUCUUUUGGAAAGAAAAACUAAAGAAUUUCAUUUAACUUGCGGAGGAUUAUUCAUAGCAUCGUUCGAAUGUCUUGCAACGUUAGCAAAAGCAACGAUGUCCUAUUUUGCUUUUAUAUAUUCCGCAUGAUUUUGAAACAGGAUAUAUCACAAAAAAUAGGAAAGUGUACAAAACUAUAGUCAUAGUUCUUAUAUCUAUGUUACAAAAGAUUAUAACUCUGAGAAUAAAUAAAACAUCUAAAGGUA